GCCGGGUUCGGGAAUAUGGCCGCGCGGUCAGUGUGGGCGGUCCGGCGGCUGGUGCAGCGCCUCCUGGCCUCGAGUGCCGCGUCCGAAGGCAGGGGACGGCUGCAUCCUUUCAGCACCGCCACCCAGAGAACUGCUGGAGAGGACUGCAGUUCUGAGGACCCUCCCGAUGACCUUGGGCCCUCUCUUGCAGAACGAGCCUUAAAGCUUAAAGCUGUGAAACUGGAGAAAGAAGUCCAGGACUUAACAAUGAGAUACCAGAGAGCUGUAGCUGAUGGUGAAAACAUAAGGCGGCGAACCCAGAGAUGUGUAGAAGAUGCCAAGAUAUUUGGAAUUCAGAGUUUCUGUAAGGACUUGGUAGAGGUGGCAGACAUUUUGGAGAAGACUACAGAGUACAUUUCUGAAGAAACAGAGCCCGGGGACCAGAAGCUCACUCUGGAGAAGAUCUUCCGAGGGUUAUCACUUUUAGAAGCAAAGCUGAAAAGUGUGUUUGCCAAACAUGGCCUAGAGAAGAUGACACCCAUCGGUGACAAAUACGACCCUCAUGAGCAUGAACUCAUCUGUCACGUGCCCGCUGGCGUUGGGGUACAGCCCGGCACCGUGGCAUUAGUAAGGCAAGAUGGCUACAAGCUUCAUGGCCGCACCAUUAGACUUGCCCAGGUGGAAGUGGCCGUGGAGUCUCAGAGAAGACUAUGAAAGGACCGUGAGGAACUGGAUGUUCUCCCAGAGUACAGUCACCUGUGUUUCCUUUAUUUAUUAAACUAGCUUCCACGAGUUCUUGCCAAGCUCUACCUGGCUUUGUCCAUACAUCUGCUCAACUGGUUUCCACAUACCUGGCCUGACUGAGUGGCCCUUCACUCUUAGAGCUCAGCCAUCAACUUAAGAGCAAACUGAAGGGCUUGUGAAGUGGAACGGGCCCUAGCUGAGCUUUCAGCUGAUAGCCAACACCGUCUUGCCAGGCCUCUUGGGGAGCCAUUUUGAAAGUGGAUCCUCCAGCCCCUAGUGGAGCAGCUCCAUCUGAUACCACAUGGAACAGAGAUGAGCUGAUCGGAGUCCUGCCCAAAAUGCAGAUUUAUGGCCAAAGUAAGUGAUUGUUACUUUUAGCCACUAAGUUUUGGGGCAGUUUGUUAUGCAGUAAUAGGUAAUUGAUAGAGUCUCCCAGCUUCACUUCCAGCCUCACUAGUUUUGCACCUCAGCCACCAGAAUUCUCCCUCCUUGCUUUUACAGCUCUUUUGAACUUGUCCCACAACUUCGGUGUGCUCACCCAUUAUCAAUGGGUUUGUUGUAGGAUGGAAAGAACUUCCUAAUAGGAGAAAACACAGCUAAAGUUUCUAGAGUUCACAAAGACCUUAAAAUUAAAAGCAAAGUCGAGUCAAGAAGUUGAAUUUUCGCGGUACCUGGGUGGCUCGGUUAGGGAUCCCACUUAAGCUCAGGUCAUGUUCUCACGGCUUGUGGGUUCCAGCCCCAUGUCAGGCUCUGUGCUGACAGCUGGAAGCCUGGAGCCUGCUUCGGAUUCUGUGUCUCUGGCUCUCUACCCCUCCUCCACUCCUACUCUGUCUCUCAAAAACAAGUAAACAUUAAGAAAAAAAAAAUUUUUUUUAAGUGUUGAAUUUUAGCUCCUCUCUCCUUUUGUCCACCGUCGCAGUGUGUGUGCGAUUGACUGUUCUCACCAUGUCUUCUCACAAGGCUUUCAGUAUCAAGUGAUUCCUGGCCAAGGAACAACAGCAGAAUCGUCCCAUUCUCUAGUGGAUUUGGAUGAAAACUGGUAAUAAAAUACACAACUCCAAGAGGAGACAUUAAAGAACCACACUGGGUCUCUAAAAAAAUCCCACGUGAGAUGGCAUACAUAUUUAUGCUGCAUGAACGUCAUUUGCUCAUAUCCUAUCACUGUAAACUUCUCUACUACCUGAACAAUAGACAUGUUUUAUUUGGAAAAUGAUUUUUCUCUGUUCCUAUGCUUCUGCACCAAUAGAUUGGUUCAGUAAUAAAU